GGGUCUGUAGUGUAGCUGGAUAUCACAGAGGCCUCCGGAGCCUCUAACCCGGGUUCAAAUCCCGGCAGAUCCG
rnacentral:tRNA from 1 species